rnacentral:tRNA from 1 species
UUACAUUUUCUUUUAUAGAGUCUCAAUUAGAUAAUAAUGCUAUAGGCAUUAUUAUUGUAGUCAAUAAUAUAAAAUAUA